CCAUUUUUGAUCUGACCUCCAUUUUUUUUCUGUGCUGUAAUGCCGACCAGAGCUGGAUGGGAUUUGUGCUUAAUUCAUGGACGUAACGUUUACCGAGAGGAGAUGGGAAAGAAGAGAGAGAAGCAUCGUCUCUGGCGAUGAAGCCUUGUGCGAGCACCACAGACGCCGUGGUUCACAGUGCAGCGGAGGAAAAAAAAGACAUCCAAUUUAAAGAAGUGAAAUUGGUCAUCGGGCAGCUUCUUGAGGAGCAAGACUGUGUCGCCGGCGUCAUCCGCUGUGCAGUUGGGGGAUGUCAUGCAAGCUGAGCUGAUUACUCCGAACAUCAGUGGGGAGGAAGAUGCCCUCGCCUGGUGGAAGUUAAAGAAGAAGUUUGGAUUCAAUGAAAGCAGGAAAACAGCUGCAAACAGAAACCUGAGAAAAAUGACUCCAGCUCUCAUUCCUGCCACCUCCCUCCCGUCCCUAUUGGUGAUGGAUCCACAUUAGAAUUCAUCCCUCAUCAUCCUGCCGAGUUAUGACCCAGUAAUAGUCAGCCCCUGUGGCCUCAGCAAAUGAACAAUAAAACCAGAGCCUUGCAACAGAUCUCUGGAAAAAGACGGGGUUGGCGGGGGGAGCCAGGUGCCAAAUCCUGACUUUCACCCACUGUCACAACAGUGUGUGUUCUCGCUGAGGGAGGUGAAGACAAGACAAAUAUGGCGUCACGGUGGCUACUUAACCUUGGAGAUAUUUUAUGUGAACCUCGCAUCAAAACAAAAUGAAGAUCGAAGGAUUCGCUCUGGCUCCCUAAUGCGUUAAGCUUGUAACACUAAUGGGCGUGCUGUCUUUGAAUACUCACACUCGUGCAUGAAUGCACCGGUGCCACAGCAGCCUGAAUUACAUGCAAAUAUGUGCCUCACAUGAAAUCAUGACACGCGCUAGGACGAGUGUGUGAGUGACAAAUAUCGUAAAUGGCAGGGGCGAUGACCCCGUCUGAUCUUGUUUUCUGUGGCUGCUGUUUUCUCACGGCAGAGCUGGAUUAUGAUUAACUUGGCCGAGAUGCCACCACAUGGGGAGUUGUUUGAAAGGCGAGAGGAAAGUUGUAGUGGUGUAGAAACUGGUCCGAUUGCAGGCUGCCUGGGGACUUCACAGGGAUCAAUACGGGCAGAGUGACAGCCGUAUACUUGAUUAAAAGUGACUGCUACAUCUGGCAGGCCUGGCCAUUACUUUCCCACUCAGAGUCCCCGGGGUGAAAGAGCAUGAAGUGACAGGCCUCAGUCAGCCCUCCAUUACCACCUUUCAGCUGCCCCUCAGGCUGUAGCCGAGUUGUUUACAUUCUGGCGAAUCUCCCAUCGAAGUCAUGCUGUUUUGGCUUAUAGCACUUCCUCUGCCCGGCGUCGAACUGGAAGAAAAAGAAUCGGAUGAUAAUGAUUUUUGAAAGAUGUUUACGGAUGUUUGACCUCGAUGGACAUGAGAGAUCCGCUGCACCUAACCUGCUCGCUGGCAGCUUUUUCUUCAACAAAACCCUGAAUUUCUGUCCGACUUCUCCCCUCACGGUGAGCCUGAAGCAGCGGCCUGACAUGCCGUCUCGUUUCCUCAUUCACACAGUCGAUAUCGAAGGGCACGCCAGCAGAAGUUCACUUCUUCAGAGUCCUCAAAAUGCCUGCUCGAUGUUAGUUAGCUUAAAAAUCUUCAAAACGAGUGCUUCUGUGAUUAUUCCGUCAUCAGGAACGACAGAGACGGCAGUCUGUGGGCAUUGUGGAUUCAUCCCGUUCGUCGUCAGUAUGCGGUCAACGAUUCAUCCUCCGCUGGCAAUAACAUCUGUUCUGCUUCUUUAUAAAAGUGCGAACAUUAAGGCAGCUGUCAGGUUGACAACCAGCCCCCCCUCCGCUGACACAUCCACUGUACAUUAGUAACGCAGUCAGUGUUAAAAUAAGUAGCUGUUAAAACGUAUCUAUGAAGCCACGGACACAUUAGACAACGAUCAGCGAAACAACUGAACAUGUUGUGAUUUGUGGCACAGAUGGAACGUUUUAUAUCAUAGUCUGUGAUGUAGUUUUAACGUGUUUUGACGGCAUUCAAGCGACUAUGUUGAAAUUCACACCAAUAGUCAUUUAUUUCCGUGAGAUCUUUUUUUUUUUUAAUGCAAAACAGACGUCUAAAUAUUUGCAGUCCGCCCUCUCAACGACAAAUCACCCACAUCAUUAUUAUUCGAUUGGACGUUGACUUUACAGUCACAGGUGGAAAUAAAUCUAAUGAUGUCUGAUACAUAUUUUCAUCCUCGGCUGCCACCACUUGCAUUUUGUUGUUGUUGGCUUACAAGUGAAUAAAUAAAUAGACAAUUGAAAAAUAAAAAAAAAGAAAGAAAAACUGAGAGAUUCACUUUAUAAUCCAUUAAGGCAAAUUCAAGUCUGGUGAAUGACAAAAGUGGAUUAUGCUGGAUAAAGACAUAAGGCACAAAACACUUGAUUUGUCAUUGUAGUCAUACAGUGAAAUCUUGUUUGGUAGCUUUGGAGACCAGCAGCGAUACAGAACGGGGAUAAGAGAGAUAAGAAAACAAGAACAAGCUAAAACAAGAUGAAUAAAUAGAAGAAUAAACAGAUUAAGAAGAUAAAAAAAGGACGAGGAUUCACUGUGUGUGUUGUAACGUGGGUCUGUUAGUGCUGGACCUACUCAUCGACUUCUUCCUCCACUCCUGUCUUCACUCCUGAUGUGUUUCAUGGUCAGCGGCGGCGUGCAAUCACAUUUAUAAGACUGCUGAAUGAAAAUGGGGGCAGGUGCGCUUCAUUUACCUGUUGCCAUGGUGAGUCAAGGUAUAGGUGCUCCAUUGACGACAGCUUUUUUUUUUUUUUUCAUUCUUGACGAACGCCCCUAAUUGAGGCUGAACUCAGUUUCCCAUCUCAGGCUUAGUCAACACAGAGUUGAUAAAACCUGUAGAGUAUAUAUUCAGAAAAAUCACUGAAGUUGAUGAGGUACAACAUUAAAUAUAUACUGUGUUUUUAUUGAUCACCAGAAAGGAUGAUCACGCUCUGUUAAAUUACGUUUCACACCGCAUUAACUGUUUUUUUUUCCCGAUACAUUGAUUGAUUGGUUGAUUUGAUAUUCACAGGCUAUUGUUUGUACGCUCCAGAAUGUCUGGGAAUAUAACAGAUUAUUCCUCGUCACUGACUCUUAUCUUUUCUUUUUGUCUAUUCUUUAAAUAACAAUGUCAGACUCGUUCCCUUGUAACCUCCUUUCAUUUGGUUGCAGUUCUACCUCCUUCCUCUGGAGAUUUGCCUCAACUGUCACCUCACAUCCAGCCACAGUCUGAGAGGCUGUGUGUGUGUGUGUGUGUGCAUGUGUAUUAGCUUGUGUGUGUGUGUGCGUGUGUGCGUGCUUGCGUGCGUGAUAAGCCCUGAGUUCUGCUCAAUCUCUGGCACAUAAUACGCUUCAAAGAAAGCAGGACAACCUGCAGACUCAGCUGUGGUGGGUCAUCAAAAUGAUUCAAAGGGAGCAAUCCCAUUUAACCCUAACCUCAAAGCUGGUGUUCCAGAGACCCACUUUCAAAUAGCCAACUUCCUUGCCAAUCUGUUACAAUCAAAGAGCCCCAAGUCUGCGACAACAUGCGUACAUUUUUGUCUAUCUCCGAUCCACUGACAGGUUGUUGGGGGGGGAGCGGAGGAAGGCUGCGUCUCGGAGCUGUCUGAGAAGUCGUAAAAUGCGGCUGCCGACGCCAACAGGCUUCUAAUUACUAUCAAAAUGACUCUCGCUUUAUUCAGCAAGGCAUUUGACACCAAAAAUACAGCGUGUCUGAUUUUUAAUUUCUAAAGCGGAAGACAAGACUGAAUUAAUCAUCAUAUCUUUGAGUGGAGCCGGUGUUGUACCUGUAGGUGUGCAUUAUCUCUCCUGCCACCCCCCCACCCACCCCCCCAUCCUCUCGCAUUCAAUCAUGCGGGCAUUAAUUAACGCCAGGCUGAUGAA